AGAUACUAUUUGUUGAUCAUAAUUAAUUUUAAAAGUAUUGGCGGUAUUUAGUUAUAUUCUGAGGAACUUGUUUAGUUAAAUUGAUAUUACUCAUUAAAUUUUACCUACAAUUUGUUUUAUGUAUUGCUGUUUAAUUAAUUGUUUGUUAAUAAGAAUUAAUU
rnacentral:rRNA from 1 species